GUAAUUAUUCCUUAGGUCGUAUAUUGAUUCAUUGGAGCCUGCUAGACUUCCUUAGAUUACUAAGUGAUCCCUUUUGCCGAAGAUCUGAGCUGAAUCGAUGCCAACAGGGUUCGAUCAUGCCUUUGUCAAGAGUCGAUAUGUUAACGGUUUUGUGCUAUUUUCUUUCCCCACAUGGCAUGAUGGAAGGAUUGCUUUGUUGAAGAGCAGUAUCGCAGCUGAUAUAAAAUAGGCAGGGUGUUGGAGCGCGAUCAACUGCUACAUAAAGGCUGAGGUUUUGUUCUAAAAGUGUCUUGCAAUGGCAGCCUGCAAACUGGACAGGUAGAUUGCUUUCUCAGCCAUACAUCAAUGCAGGAGAGAUGAAAACUGUGACCACAUUUGGAACUGAAAGCCUCCAGGUCGAACUUCAUCGUUGGUAUAGCAGCUAUGAGAACCGGUUCGAGACCACUCACCCGAGACUCUGGCUGGCAUCAAACAGCAAAGAAUCAAGAGACUUGUCAUUUUGUCAUAUACAGAUAAAUACAAAUUACACACUGCAGAUCCGGAUUAAGAGAAAAGCAGCCACUAUUUCUUACCUGCUGCUCAAGAUCAACUCUGGA